UACGGAGGGUGCAAGCGUUAGUCGGAAUUACUGGGCGUAAAGGGUGCGUAGGCGGGUAUGUAAGUCAGACGUGAAAUUCCGAGGCUCAACCUCGGAGCUGCAUCUGAAACUACAUAUCUUGCGGAAUGGCGGAGAAAAUGGAAUUCCACGUGUAGCGGUGAAAUGCGUAGAUAUGUGGAAGAACACCUGUGGCGAAAGCGGUUUUCUAGCCUACUCCGGACGCUGAGGCACGAAAGCUAGGGGAGCAAACAGG
rnacentral:rRNA from 1 species